CCUGCCUCAGCCUUCCAAAGUGCUGGGAUUACAGGCAUGAGCCACUGCACCCAGCCAGAGCAUGCCUUUUUUUUUUUCAGCUGUUCUAUAUUACUCAAUAUACUUUUCUAGCCCUAAUGUUUAAUCUGUCACACGAUCACAGACUUUAUAACAUUGAAUUGGUCCCUAGAGAUAAUCUAAUGCAGCCCUUCACUUUGCAGAUGAGGAUACCAGUGCCUAGAAGUGGGUAGGGACAGUCUAACACAAUAAACUGGGACUGGUACCCAGGACUCCUGCGCAGCCUGCUCAGUGCUUUCUCCACCCCACCAGAAGCCUCAGUUCUGAGAGUCUCUUCUUCUCAGCUUGGCUCUUAGUGGAUUUUUCCCCCCUUUUGUGAAUGAAGGCAGUCUUACACAUGACAUUAAAUUUAACUAUUUUCAUCAGGCGAAUCUCCUCCCAUUUUUAUCCGUGUGCAGGCAGCAGACUUUUAUGUAGCAGCAGUGAGUGUGUUUUGUGAUUUUUACAUAAUACUGCUUCAUAUACUCACUUCUAGGAAACAGUAUGUCACUGUACUACUCGAUCAUGGAUGGCUUAGCCAGCUACAUACUACUGGACACUCAAAAUCAACAGACACAUGGAAGUAUAUGCAUAAGGCAAAAAACAAUGAAAAAAAAAGUCUAUGCACAAAACUGUUAUCCAUGGAACCCAUUUAUAUAUUCCUGUUGCCAGACUGUGUUCCUGAAGAGAAUGAACCAACUUUGCCAUUGGCAAUGUGUAAGUGUUCCCUCCCCACAACUAUACCAUCCUUCUUCUUUCUUCCCCCCACCCCAUGGAGUCUUACUCUGUUACCCAGGCUGGAGUGCAGAGGCGCGAUCUCAGCUCACUGCAACAUCCGCCUCCCAGGUUCAAGUGAUUCUCCUGCCUCAGCCUCCCAAGCAUCUGGGAUUACAGGUGCAUACCACCACACCCAGUUAAUUUUUUUGUAUUUUUGUAGAGACAGGGUUUCACCAUGUUGACCAGGCUGGUCUCAAACUCCAGACCUUAAG
rnacentral:lncRNA from 1 species